rnacentral:rRNA from 1 species
CGUCGUGAGACAGUUCGGUCCCUAUCUGCCGUGGGCGUUGGAAAAUUGAAAGGGGCUGCUCCUAGUACGAGAGGACCGGAGUGGACGAACCUCUGGUGUUCGGGUUGUCAUGCCAAUGGCAUUGCCCGGUAGCUAAGUUCGGAAUCGAUAACCGCUGAAAGCAUCUAAGCGGGAAGCGAGCCUUGAGAUGAGUUUUCCCUGGCACUAUAAGUGUCCUAAAGGGUUGUCGUAGACUACGACGUUGAUAGGCAGGGUGUGUAAGUGCUGCGAGGCAUUGAGCUAACCUGUACUAAUUGCCCGUGAGGCUUAACCAUACAACACCCAAGGGGUUU